ACUCCUACGGGAGGCAGCAGUAGGGAAUCUUCGGCACAUGGACGAAAGUCUGACCGAGCAACGCCGCGUGAGUGAAGAAGGUUUUCGGAUCUGUAAAACUCCUGUUGUUAGAGAAGAACAAGGAUGAGAGUAGAACGUUCAUCCCUUGACGGUAUCUAACCAGAAAGCCA
rnacentral:rRNA from 1 species